rnacentral:rRNA from 1 species
CUACGUGCCAGCAGCCGCGGUAAUACGUAGGGUGCGAGCGUUAAUCGGAAUUACUGGGCGUAAAGCGGGCGCAGACGGUUACUUAAGCAGGAUGUGAAAUCCCCGGGCUCAACCUGGGAACUGCGUUCUGAACUGGGUGACUAGAGUGUGUCAGAGGGAGGUAGAAUUCCACGUGUAGCAGUGGAAUGCGUAGAGAUGUGGAGGAAUACCGAUGGCGAAGGCAGCCUCCUGGGAUAACACUGACGUUCAUGCCCGAAAGCGUGGGUAGCAAACAGGAUUAGAUACCCUGGUAGUCCACGCCCUAAACGAUGUCGAUUAGCUGUUGGGCAGCAUGACUGCUUAGUAGCGAAGCUAACGCGUGAAAUCGACCGCCUGGGGAGUACGGUCGCAAGAUUAAAACUCAAAGGAAUUGACGGGGACCCGCACAAGCGGUGGAUGAUGUGGAUUAAUUCGAUGCAACGCGAAGAACCUUACCUGGUCUUGACAU